rnacentral:rRNA from 1 species
GCAAGAAUGAAACUCAAAGGAAUUGACGGGGGCCCGCACAAGCGGAGGAACAUGUGGUUUAAUUCGAUGAUACGCGAGGAACCUUACCUGGGCUUAAAUGUAGACUGAUCGUAGCAGAAAUGUUAUUUCCCUUCGGGGCAAUUUACAAGGUGCUGCAUGGCUGUCGUCAGCUCGUGCCGUGAGGUGUCGGGUUAAGUCCCAUAACGAGCGCAACCCCUAUCAUUAGUUGCCAGCGCGUCAAGGCGGGGACUCUAAUGAGACUGCCACCGUAAGGUGAGAGGAAGGUGGGGAUGACGUCAAGUCAGCACGGCCCUUAUGUCCAGGGCUACACGCGUGUUACAAUGGUUGGUACAAAGGGCAGCUACCUGGCGACAGGAUGCUAAUCUCCAAAACCAAUCUCAGUUCGGAUCGGAGUCUGCAACUCGACUCCGUGAAGUUGGAUUCGCUAGUAAUCGCGCAUCAGCAAUGGCGUGGUGAAUACGUUCCCGGGCCUUGUACACACCGCCCGUCAAGCCAUGGAAGCUGGGGGUACCUGAAGUCCGUUACCGCAAGGUUCGGCCUAGGGUAAAACUAGUAACUAGGGCUAAGUCGUAACAAGGUA